rnacentral:rRNA from 1 species
GACGAACGCUGGCGGCGUGCUUAACACAUGCAAGUCGAACGGAAAGGCCCUGCUUUUGUGGGGUGCUCGAGUGGCGAACGGGUGAGUAACACGUGAGUAACCUGCCCUUGACUUUGGGAUAACUUCAGGAAACUGGGGCUAAUACCGGAUAGGAGCUCCUGCUGCAUGGUGGGGGUUGGAAAGUUUCGGCGGUUGGGGAUGGACUCGCGGCUUAUCAGCUUGUUGGUGGGGUAGUGGCUUACCAAGGCUUUGACGGGUAGCCGGCCUGAGAGGGUGACCGGCCACAUGGGGACUGCGAUACGGCCCAGACUCCUACGGGAGGCAGCAGUGGGGAAUAUUGCACAAUGGGCGGAAGCCUGAUGCAGUAACGCCGCGUGCGGGAUGACGGCCUUCGGGUUGUAAACCGCUUUCGCCUGUGACGAAGCGUGAGUGACGGUAAUGGGUAAAGAAGCACCGGCUAACUACGUG